CUGCUAGUCCACGCUGUAACUUANNNAUGCUAGCUGUUAUGGGGUNUCGACCCCCCGUAGUAGNGAAGCUAACGCGNUUAAGCNUNCCGNCCUGUGGAGUACGGUCGCAAGACUAAAACAUAAANGGAAUUGACGGGGACCCCGCACAAGCGGUGGAGCGUGUUGUUUAAUUCGAUGGUAAACGAAGAACCUUACCCAGGUUUGACAUCCCGAGAAUCUUUCCGAAAGGAGAGAGNGCAUUUUUUGAACUCGGUGACAGGUGAUGCAUGGCCGUCGUCAGCCCGUGUCGUGAGAUGUUUGGUUAAGUCCAUCAACGAGCGCAACCCUUGUGAGUAGUUGAAUUUUUCUACUCAGACUGCCCUGGUAACAGGGAGGAAGGGGGGGAUGAUGUCAGGUCAGUAUUUCCCUUACAUCUGGGGCUACAAACACGCUACAAUGGCCGGUACAAAGGGCUGCCAAGUCGCGAGACGGAGCAAAUCCCAUCAAAGCCGGUCUCAGUUCGGAUAGCAGGCUGAAACUCGCCUGCUUGAAGCUGGAAUCGCUAGUAACGGUAGGUCAGCUAUACUACCGUGAAUACGUUCCCGGGUCUUGUACACACCGCCCGGUCAAACCAUGAAAGUCGCCAAUACCUGACGUGUUGCCCUCGUGCAGCCCUAAGGUAGGGGAGAUGAUUGGGGUU
rnacentral:rRNA from 1 species